UUAGAGACUUAGAAGUUGGGGGCAGAGAGCAUGGAAAAGGGUCAGACAUUCAAGAGCAACAAAGGCCUGGUUGACACCAUCCUCUACCAACUGGAGACACAAAUAUUCUUCAACGGUAGAACUCGCCAACUGUGGUAUAGUCACAUCACAGAAUACUAUACAGCCAGGAAAAAAGACGCCACGAUCCCUUCACGGCCUCUCUUCCGCGAAUCUCCAAGACAACGUUGGGGUUUCACUAAGUUCCCCAGGCUGGCCUCGAAAUUUCGAUCCUCCUGCCUCAGCCUCCCAAGUCUCUAGGAUGACAGCACCCUCCACCUUCUGCAAUGUGGGCCCUUGCUGGAUCUUGGACUUCCUGACCUCCAGAACCUAUAAGAAAUCAAUUUUCUGUUGUUCAUAAAUUCUCCAGUCUCAGGUAUUCUGUCAUAGCAACG